rnacentral:rRNA from 1 species
GAUGAACGCUGGCGGCGUGCCUAACACAUGCAAGUCGAGCGAAGCGCUGUUUUCAGAAUCUUCGGAGGAAGAGGACAGUGACUGAGCGGCGGACGGGUGAGUAACGCGUGGGCAACCUGCCUCAUACAGGGGGAUAACAGUUAGAAAUGACUGCUAAUACCGCAUAAGCGCACAGGACCGCAUGGUGUAGUGUGAAAAACUCCGGUGGUAUGAGAUGGACCCGCGUCUGAUUAGGUAGUUGGUGGGGUAAAGGCCUACCAAGCCGACGAUCAGUAGCCGACCUGAGAGGGUGACCGGCCACAUUGGGACUGAGACACGGCCCAAACUCCUACGGGAGGCAGCAGUGGGGAAUAUUGCACAAUGGGGGAAACCCUGAUGCAGCGACGCCGCGUGAAGGAAGAAGUAUUUCGGUAUGUAAACUUCUAUCAGCAGGGAAGAA